GACGAACGCUGGCGGCGUGCCUAACACAUGCAAGUCGAACGGAGUUUCCAGCAAUGGAUUCUUAGUGGCGAACGGGUGAGUAACGCGUAGACAACCUACCUUCGAGAUGGGGACAACACUGCGAAAGUGGUGCUAAUACCGAAUGUUGUAACGAGCAUGCAUAUGCUUGUUACUAAAGAUGGCCUCUAUUUAUAAGCUAUCGCUAGAAGAUGGGUCUGCGUCUGAUUAGCUAGUUGGUGAGGUAAUGGCUCACCAAGGCGACGGUCAGUAGCCGGUCUGAGAGGAUGAACGGCCAAACUGGGACUGAGACACGGCCCAGACUCCUACGGGAGGCAGCAGUGGGGAAUCUUCCGCAAUGGACGAAAGUCUGACGGAGCAACGCCGCGUGAGUGAAGAAGGUUUUCGGAUCGUAAAACUCUGUUUUCAGGGACGAAUGUGCAGCUUGUAAAUAAUGAGUUGUAAUGACGGUACCUGAGUAGAAAGCCACGGCUAACUACGUGCCAGCCGCCGCCGUAA
rnacentral:rRNA from 1 species